GGAAAACUCAAAACGGUGCCCGGGCUCAUCUGCUCCCUCUCAGCAAAAAAUUCAAAAAAAUACUAGAAAAAUUCAAAAAAUUCCAAAUUUUUUUGUGGUGGUAGAUAAUUUGACGCGUGAGGUGCGCCCCAAAAUUCAACCCAUUUGGACAUCUGAGCAGCUCUCGGCAAAAAAGACAAAUCGGGUCAAAACAGUGCGUGAACAGUAUACAUUUUUACAUAC
rnacentral:rRNA from 1 species